rfam:Chaetomium globosum CBS 148.51 scaffold_2 genomic scaffold, whole genome shotgun sequence.
GACAACUUGGCCGAGUGGUUAAGGCGACAGACUUGAAUUUCCACGUUCGAGGCAUCUGUUGGGUUCGCCCUCACAAGUUCGAAUCUUGUAGUUGUCG